UGCCAGCCACCGCGGUUAUACGAGAGGCUCAAGUUGACAGACAACGGCGUAAAGAGUGGUUAAGGAAAAUUUUCAAACUAAAGCCGAACGUCCUCAGAGCUGUUCAACGCUUCCGAGUUAAGAAGCCCCACCACGAAAGUAGCUUUACUCUGCCUGACCCCACGAAAGCUGUGAAACAAACUGGGAUUAGAUACCCCACUAUGCUCAGCCCUAAACUUUGAUAGGCCACUACGCCCCCUAUCCGCCCGGGUACUACGAGCAUCAGCUUAAAACCCAAAGGACUUGGCGGUGCUUCAUAUCCGUCUAGAGGAGCCUGUUCUAGAACCGAUAACCCCCGUUAAACCUCACCCUCCCUUGUUAACCCCGCCUAUAUACCGCCGUCGUCAGCCUACCCUGUGAAGGACUAGAAGUGAGCAAGAUUGGUAAAACCCAAAACGUCAGGUCGAGGUGUAGUGAAUGAGAGGGAAAGAAAUGGGCUACAUUUCCUAAACCAGGAAAUACGAAUAAUGAACUGAAAUAAGCAUUAGAAGGUGGAUUUAGCAGUAAGUAGGAAACAGAGUGUUCCGCUGAAGAUGGCA
rnacentral:rRNA from 1 species